AGCGAACGCUGGCGGCAGGCCUAAUACAUGCAAGUCGAACGGUCUCUUCGGAGGCAGUGGCGGACGGGUGAGUAACGCGUGGGAAUAUGCCCUUUGGUACGGAACAACUGAGGGAAACUUCAGCUAAUACCGUAUGUGCCCUUCGGGGGAAAGAUUUAUCGCCAUUGGAGUAGCCCGCGUUGGAUUAGGUAGUUGGUGGGGUAAAGGCCUACCAAGCCUACGAUCCAUAGCUGGUCUGAGAGGAUGAUCAGCCACACUGGGACUGAGACACGGCCCAGACUCCUACGGGAGGCAGCAGUAGGGAAUCUUGCGCAAUGGGCGAAAGCCUGACGCAGCCAUGCCGCGUGAAUGAUGAAGGUCUUAGGAUUGUAAAAUUCUUUACACCGGGGAAGAUAAUGACGGUACCCGGGGAAGAAGCCCCGGCUAACUUCGUGCCAGCAGCCGCGGUAAU
rnacentral:rRNA from 1 species